GCUGGCGACCGGCGCACGGGUGAGUAACACGUAUCCAACCUGCCCUUUACUCGGGGAUAGCCUUUCGAAAGAAAGAUUAAUACCCGAUGGCAUAAUGAUUCCGCAUGGUUUCAUUAUUAAAGGAUUCCGGUAAAGGAUGGGGAUGCGUUCCAUUAGGUUGUUGGUGAGGUAACGGCUCACCAAGCCUUCGAUGGAUAGGGGUUCUGAGAGGAAGGUCCCCCACAUUGGAACUGAGACACGGUCCAAACUCCUACGGGAGGCAGCAUG
rnacentral:rRNA from 1 species